rnacentral:rRNA from 1 species
UGAUCCCGGCCCCGGACGAACGCUGGCGGCGUGCCUGACACAUGCAAGUCGAGCGAACAGGCCGCGAGGUGUUCUUGGGUAAGGUGUUACCCGACGAUGCCUGCGGCUUGUCAGCGGCGAACGGCUGAGUAACGCGUGGGCAACCUACCCGGAAGAGGCGGACAGCCUUCCGAAAGGAGGGGUAAUCCGCCGUAUGGUCCACUCUCGCAUGGGGGUGGCCCAAAGGGCUGAGGCUCGCUUCCGGAGGGGCCCGCGUCCUAUCAGGUAGUUGGCGGGGUAACGGCCCACCAAGCCGACGACGGGUAGCUGGUCUGGGAGGACGGCCAGCCAGACGGGCACUGAGACACGGGCCCGGCACCGAAGCCGACUCUGUCCCGUCUGACGGGGGACUGGAACCGGUCAGACGCGACGCGGGCGGCGUAGGUGGCAGCAGUGGGGAAUCUUGCGCAAUGGGGGCAACCCUGACGCAGCGACGCCGCGUGGGGGAAGAAGGCGGGCUGCGGCCCGUUGUAAACCCUUGUUCGAGCGGGAAGAACGGCCGGCCUUGGCGCCGGCUCUGACGGUACCGCCCGAGAAAGCACCGGCCAACUACGUGCCAGCAGCCGCGUUGAGACGUAGGGUGCAAGCGUUGUCCACUCUCAUUGGGCGCAAAGGGCGCAUAGGCGGUGGUGUCCGUCGCCGGUCAAAGCUUCCGGCUUAACCGGAGGGCCGUGCCGGCGAUACCACGCCACUAGAGGGCAGCAGAGGAGAGCGGAAUUCCCGGAGGAGCGGUGAAAUGCGUUGAUACCGGGAGGAACACCGAAGGCGAAGGCAGCUCUCUGGACUGGCCCUGACGCUGACUGCGCGAAAGCCAGGGGAGCAAACCGGAUUAGGUACCCGGGUAGUCCUGGCCGUAAAAGAUGGACACUAGUCCCGGGAGGCCCCGGCAGCCCGUUAGGGUACUCUGCAGAAGCAGAGUGCUGGGUUGUCGGCUUACCUUUCCAGGACGCAGCUCGCGCGCAGAGUGUCCCGCCUGAGGAGUACGGCCGCAAGGCUGAAAAUCAAGGGAAUUGGCGAGUGCCUGCACAAGCGGCCGAGCACGUGGCUUAAUCGGACUAGGUUCCCGAGAACCUUACCAGGGCUUGACAUGUCUCGGACCCCCCGGGAAACCGGGGCUCCGGCACCUUCGGGUGCCGGCCGGGGCACAGGUGGCGAGUGGCUGUCGUCAGCCCGUGCCGUGAGGCGUUGGGUUCACUCCCAAAACGGGCGAAACCCCUGCCUGGUGUUGCCAGCGGGUAUCUCCGCCGCCGAAAGGCUGUGGAGGUGCGCCGGGCACUCACCAGGAACCGCCGUGGUCCUGGCUGUGGGAUAUCCGGGCCAUUGGAGGAAGGUGGGGAUGAGGUCAAGUCGGUACGCCCCUUAUGCUCUGGGCUGCACACGUGCUACAGUGGCCCGUACAAAGAGUGCCGAAGCCGCGAGGCGGAGGUAACCCCAAAAAACGGGCCCCGGUUCGGAUUGCAGUCUGCAACCCGACUGCAUGAAGCCUGAAGUCGCUAGUAACCGCGGAUCAGCGAUGUCGCGGUGAAUACGUUCCCAGGC